GGGGCCGCCGCGCCGCGCCGGGACCGUCGCUCGCCCCUUUAAGGCGUGCGCGCCGGUCCGCGUCUGCCCCUGCGUACGGAAUUGUUUCCUUGUGCCUCCGGCCUUCAGGAAGACCGAGAAACCUCCCAGCGGAGCCGCCAGCUCUGACCGCCGGGGCUCAACCACCAUGCCGCUGCUCUGCGCCCCGGGCUCGGUUCCCGGAGAGAACCGUCCCUACCUUGUUUGGGGACACAGCUCCUUGCCUGCUGGGGAGAAGUCACCUCUGCUCUUUCCACAAGAUGCCGCGUUCCUGCAAGCGCGUGGCUUAGCCUGAAGGAACCGGCCUUAAUAAAGUCCCAGCCUUGGAAGGGCUGGGAAUGGGCGGGCGAGAGGGAGGGAGGAAAAAGAGGUCAAAACCACCGCUGUGGUCCUACACUCACCGCCCGAGGCGGGGCGGAGGGGAUCGGCAGCACGGAAGGAUGUAUCCAUCCCGGGCUAAACAAAAUCCAACUUUCCCUGACGCACCUUCUGGGAUCAAAGAGGGCUGUUCCCAUUUCGCCUUUUGCCACUUCCUCCCUGGGGUAUCUCCACCUCUCCAACGCGAACGGAGAACCAGUUCUUUGGGGGAUGUUUUGGUGUCCGGGGUGUGAUCUCCCCCGUAAAGGAACCACCACCCUUGGGUUUUCCCCUCCUGUCAGUGGAACCUGUGACCAGUGGUUCCUUCCUGUCAUUUUCCUUCCGGAAGGUGUCUCAGGGGUGCAUUCGAGCGUGACUCCAGACCCCCGGAUGAGUUUUGGAGGAGAGAUGUGCCUGCGGAGAAAACACAGCGCUGGAUAGGUGCUUCUGGCUGCCUCUUCCUCUUUCUGAGAUACCGCACCCCCUCCUCCCAACUCGCACGCACCCCAGCACAUACAGAGCAACAGGAGCAGAGAUGCUGUGGAGAUUAGAGAUACCAUCACGUUUGGAGCAUUUCUUGCACACGGUAGGAACAGGAUGAUUUCACCAAAGAGGAAGAGCCGCAAAGAAGGAGUAAGGCGUCUGUCUGGGCAGCUCCGGCUCUCCGGGACUCACACUGAGAUGUUGUAAUCUAUUAGGUUUCCAGCAGCUUCAUCAGAUAAAUUAGGAAAGAUAAAUUGGAGAAGGGGACGACAGAGGAUGAGAUGGUUGGAUGGCAUCACUGACUCAAUGGACAUGAGUUUCAGCAAGCUCCGAGAGAUGGUGAAGGACGGGGAAGCCUGACGUGCUGUAGUCCACGGGGUCACAGAGCCAGGCACGACUGAGCGACUGAGCAACAAAAGGAAAGCUACCUCACCAACAGGUACUGAAAUCUUAAGUUAUUUGGGGACCUUGUGAAGGGAGAAGUUCAUCUAGAUCUGUAGGGUGAAACAUGUAAUAAGUCCUUGGCAUGAUUUUCCUAACCCUGAGAGGUUUUUUUUAAAAAGUUCAGUUUGAAGUUUAAAGUUUGGGGAAAAAAAGUUGUUUGAGACUCCUUAUAACAAUUUCAGUAAAGCAAAAAGCCUAUAUGAUCAAUUAUAGUUAUAUAAAUUAUCAGGCCAAGAUACAUUUUUUGAGACCUGAUUUAUUUUGCAAACAAAUUAAUCUUAAUUUGGAUAUGUCUGGUAGAAAUGAGAGUAAUUUUAGAGAUUAAAAAGAUUAUGUUUCAAUGAAUGUUAAAUCCCAAUUAUGUAAAUGAGGGUCUGUAUUUACUCACUCACUUCCCAGAUAGUUCCUUCUUGUUAUGUUAUAUUAAUAUGAAGUUAAUCAAAUUAUUAAAAGGACACUCUAAGUUUUGUUUCUGAAGCUUAUCUCAGUAAUCUCUGGAUGAAGAUCAGAUGCUCCAUGACCUGCAAACAGGGGAUUACAUAUACUGGAAAAGACAUAAUUUAAAGGGCUGUCUCCAACCUAGAUGGAAGGACUUUUAAAUCAAGUAUUCUUAACUAGUUCAUGUACAGUGAAACUGAAGGGAAAUUGACUCUUGGAUUAAUUCCCACUUCUAAAGGCCCCUAUAACUGACUGACCUAGAGAGAGGACUGCUGACCUCAAACUCACCUCAAAACAAUGCUCAAAUAGAGGAAACUACACGUACACCAGGAAGAGAAGAAAAUGACAUGAGAAGUAGGCAGCUUACCAAGAUCCUGGACCUGAUUUGUGUGAUCUUGACUUCUUAGACUUUUACAUAUAAAUAAAAAAUUUUCUAUCAUGGAUAUGAUAUGCUAGUUUUAAAGAUCAACCCCAAUUGUU